ensembl:lncRNA
AUGAUAAAGAUCAGUGUUAUGGUUGAGCCUCAUGGCUCUACUACUGGGAGACGUGGGCGUAAGACUCCUCGAGAGUCAGAUACUCUCGAGGAGCGAGAAAGGAAGCGGCUGCGAGAUAUCUUUGCAGAACCAUCUGACGAGGAUUCUUUUGAGGGGUUUACUGAGAGAAUGGAGGAAGAGAUGGUUAGCUCGGAAGAGGAUGACAUGGAAUGGACUCGUGUAAGGGAGGAUUUGGGUGCCACUGGCAAUGAUAGUAUGGAAGGCGAUUGGGGACCUUCAGGAUUAGACCCGUGGACAAGCUGGAGGGAUGGGACGGGAUCCACAGCUGGGGAUGCUGUGGGGCGUAGUCAAAGGUGUUCCAGUUCUGAUGAGGAAAGUGAUGAGGAAACGCCCGGGCUAAGGAGAACAGCUGAUAGCGAUGAGGAAACGCCCGGGCUAAGGAGAACAGCUGAUAGCGAUGAGGACUUGUAACUGGCAUAAAAUGGGGUUUGGGAGCAAUAGCAAAUUGCGUUGGGCAAGGUAAUCUGGACGAAUGCUUGGGAUCUGUGUGGGAAGUUUUCCUGAAGACGGGUGUGAUUCGUUUGCUGACUACGUAAGUUAUCCUGGACAUUGGGCUCAGACGGCGGGAGGAAUUGUGUGGGGUUUUGUUGUGCAACCUCUGCUUAAUCUUAAUAGCUUUGACCUUCCGUCGUCUUCUUGACGGACGCCAUCUGCUUACUCUGGACUUACGGACUGACUGACUACGGCCUCGGAUUCUCCUACCUGUGUCUAUCGUUGGAACUGGUGAACUACAAACGUCUGCAUCUGCCUUACGACCUUCGGAACGGAUUGGGACUUCGCUGACUGCUUCUGCCCUCGUCUGCUGUGUUUGUAUCGGGAAAUUGCCUGCUGUGUGGAGGAGUAACCUCUAAGUUACUCAAACAUAGCUCUUGGCAGCAGAGAAGCAUCUGCUGCCAAUUAGUUGCAUUCCUUUGAACUUUUUGUUCACCAGCUUCUGUUUGUUUAUUCCCAGGCUGAAGCAAGCUGUUUUGAUUUAACCCGGAUUAAACUCCGGUUUAAUCCGGUUUAUCUUUUGAACGUUUUUCUUGUCUCUUUUUACUUUUAAGGCCAGUGUUUGCCUAGCCCUUGUCUUUUACGGGCAUUUUUGGUUCUGUAACUCCAAUAAACUUUGUUAUCUUUUAUCUUGUGGCGUUCUGUCUUUGACAAUCAGCUAUGGACUUUAUCACAUGUGACUAGUAACAUGACUUUGAUGCUCCCCAGCCAAAAAUGAUCAAAGGAAUUGCUUUGUCAUAUGAUUUUCCACUCACCUCAAACCAGCCUGCAACUCAUGAUGGAGUGCUGUUCAAAAAAUGAGAACUCCCAUUUCUGAGCAGUUAAAGUGUUUCAAAUCUGUGUUCAAGGUCUUUCAGGGCUGCAGUAAAUGAAAAAAUGCUUCAGCAGUGAGUUUGGAGAUGGUCAUGUGUCAUUGUGGGUCCAUAUGGCCAUUGUUCUAGACAUUUUACUUCUGGUAAUCAGAAUGAGAGGAGCUCUGGCUGUAAAACCAUAACUGUUCUCUUUCACCUUGUUAACUUUCUUAAAAAAAUCAUUUUUCAAAUUUUCCCUCUUGAUUAGGUAUUUUUCUUUGUUCUUUUGUUAAUGUUCAAGCAAAGUGUUGUAAUUGAACUGCUGCAAACUCCAAUAAUUUGUGUUGCAAAAUAGCUAGGUUCAGUAAAGCAGCAACCUCUUAAUUUUUUUACUAAUACAGUAGAGUCUCACUUAUCCAACGUAAACGGGCCGGCAAAACGUUGGAUAAGUGAAUAUGUUGGAUAAUAAGGAGAGAUUAAGGAAAAGCCUAUUAAACAUCAAAUUAGGUUAUGAUUUUACAAAUUAAGCACCAAAAUACCAUGUUAUACAACAAAUUUGACAGAAAAAGUAGUUCAAUACGCAGUAAUGCUAUGUAGUAAUUACUGUAUUUAUGAAUUUAUCACCAAAAUAUCAUGAUGUAUUGAAAACAUUGACUACAAAAAUGCGUUGGAUAAUCUAGAAUGUUGGAUAAGCGAGUGUUGGAUAAGUGAGACUCUACUGUAUUUAAAUUGUUUAAAAGGACAGUGCUUCUGAACUUGUGAAAGUAUUUCAUU